UAAUAAUUAAAUUUAUUUUUUAUAUUUAUUUAAUUAAAUCUACCAUGUAACUCUUUUCAUGUACUUUAAUCCUAAUGUUUCAAAGGCAAGUACACCUGCUAUAUCCUGCUGCUGCCAGUAGAUGGCGGUGGAGCGCUGGCUGUUGCUGUGACUGACUGUGACUAGCUGUAGUAGCCUUGAAUUCCCCCCUCAGACCCCUCUCAGAGAUACUUGAGAAAGCUAACAUGCUUUUAAACCUGUUUUUCAGAGCUGUACAGUACAGUAAUAGUGGCAUUUUAGCUGCCUCAUGCUGGAGAGAGGAGGCGCAGGAUGGAAGAAUGUAAAGAUGCGGCGAGGAUGUCUCAGUUAAGAGUGAACGGAACGACAAGCGCGGCGAGAGAUCACUCUUCUCAGCAAGCCAUUCUAAUGACAGAGAAGAAGAACAAAAAAAAAAGGAAAAAUAGAAAAGAAGAAGAAGUGGGGAGGAACGGCGGCGAAAUACGGGGAAAAAAAAAUGAAAAAUGUGGAACAUGAAACUCCGCAAAUUUGACUUAUAACAAGCAAAAUUACACCCUGCUGUCAUUUAAAUUAUGGCUGCCCUCUAUAAAGGUGUCUUUUAGGUGCAUUAAUUGAAUUCGGCACUAUUUUCCAAUAAUAAUCUGUAAAGUUCAUCCGUCCAUCCCUCACCGGAUCCCCCGCCGCGCGCGCGAGGAGGACGUAUCUAUUUCAGUGGCUUAAUUUAUUUUCAUGAUUCGCUGAUAAUGACUGCCAUGCAGGCUGUACAUCAGAAUUAACCUUCAUUUCACUGAGGUAUAUUACGAUGACAGUCGCCGACACAUUUCACCUACACAAAGGGCAUUCUCCCUCUCCCUGCUUUAUAAUCAUCCUCGGCAGACGAAGAUUGUUUGAUAGCCGAUUAAUUUUCAUAGAAAAUCAAGUGGCCAGCUCUCCCAAAUGGCAUGCAGCCUCGUGCUUGGUGACUUUUCUGGCAAUUAGGUGUUUUAUUUAAUCCUCUCUUGCUCUCGCUCUCUCUUUUUUUUUUUUUUUUUUUU
rnacentral:lncRNA from 1 species